rnacentral:rRNA from 1 species
UAGAUCUUGAGGUUAGUGAUAGUGUUUGUGUUGUUAGUUGUAU